CUUGAAAUGAAGAAGCAUUAUUGGCUGCCACAAGCUGGCAGGUGUGCAAUGAUGACCAGCCAUUCAACUAACAACCAAUCGGUAAUCUAGUAUGAACUAGGAUACUCUGUGGUCAGACCAUUUGAUGUACUGGAGGAGAGUAUACCCAAUUCAUCUUUUCAUCCGCCCUUUGGCAAGAUGUAGGUUUCUAGCAGAACUCCUUGAUACUGCCAGGAUUUGCGCGGAAUUAGGGAACACAGUGGGUAAAUGGGCCAUCAGUACCAGCUCAUGGUCAACCUUUGGUCCAGACAGACUUGACCCUGUUUCAGCACCAUUUAGAAUUGUUCUCUGAUUGCACCAACUAGCAUGUCUACAACUCACGAUGUAACAGCUCUUCAUCUACUGAGGUGGUGGGAACCAGUGCUAAGCUGAGGGAAAAUGAGCAGUCUUCAAGCUGUGAUGACUCUCUCAAUUGGCCUGUUAUCAGGAAACUGUGGGUGGUGCUUUCAAAACAGCCACUUGUCCAGCCAGAUGAACACAUUUUACUUCAAGGUGCUAUAUGCCCUGCUCAAGAAGUUUUAUCUAAAUUGAUGGCAGCCAGCAUUGUGAUGGGAGAAAACCAGGCCGGGGAAUCGCUUGUCCAUUCAGAGGUUGCCAACAUGAGCAGGACUUGAACUCACAGCGAUAGGAAAUCAUCAUUACAUUAACGUCAUCAAAUGAUUAUUGGUGCAGUCUAUAAAUCAAUGUCGAGAAAAAACAUGUAUACUGAAGUUCUUAAUCUUCACAGGAUAUAUACAUGUACAUGUAUGCCUUUUUCUUACUUCAGAGGAAAUUACAGAAUAGCUAAACUGCACAGUGGAAAAUAGGACAUGGUAAAACAGUAUACAGUAAACAGUGCCCUGGGAAGAUGCCAGAGUUUCUUCAUCCAUAACCUCAAUUAUCAGUGCAGGCAAUGCUACAACUAUAUGCACUAUGCAAGUUUUUCAACAGAUAUCUUUCAAUCAAACUUACAAGCACAAUAUUGGUAUAAUGUCCUGUUAAUUUCCAUCUUUUCUCAAUGAACAUGUCAUUUGCUCUGACAAUA